UGGUGGAGUGGUUUGUCUGGUUAAUUCCGUUAACGAACGAGACCUUAGCCUGCUAAAUAGCUACGCGUAGCUUUCUGUUACGCGGGCAGCUUCUUAGAGGGACUUUGCGUGUCUAACGCAAGGAAGUUUGAGGCAAUAACA
rnacentral:rRNA from 1 species